UAAAUUUUGAAACCAAUGAAAGACCUCAAAUACCCAAACUCCACUAGUACGGGAAUUAGAAAGAUGAGCAGAAUUCAAAAUCCAAUUGAAUGACGUCGAUGAGAAUCUCAAUACCCACGAUUUCUAACCCACCAUAGAUGAAUCCCACUAGAGACCGGAUCUAGGUUGUGGUCGUUUUAGUGUUACCUAAAAUGAGAUGGAGAUGAUGGACUCCGACCAUCUCAGAAGGAAUAGAGAAAAGGAAAAUCAGAUCAAAUUUGGAGCAUCAAUGAUGUUUUUUUGGCGAUGAAUCGCCGAAACAGUCAACAACCUCCAGUUUUCCUUCUCUCUCUCUCUCCUUAUUUUCACUCUCUUUUUCUCCGAUCUAUCUCGCCCUUCACUCCCAUUUGUUUUCUCGAAUCUAUUUUCUCUCUCGAUUCCUCCUAAUUCUAUGCGUGUGUGUAGUUUCGAUCAGUAUGUGUAAUAGAAAUUAUGUGUGUGAUGAGUGUGUGCGUGAUAUCGUGUGUGUAUAGUCUAAUGUUAGGUAUGUUAAUGGCUUUUCAGUGAGUGAAUGUGGG
rnacentral:lncRNA from 1 species